GUGCUAGUCAGCAGGCUAAUGUUUAGGUGAUGCUGAGGGAGAGGGGGCAGCUCUGGCAGGAGGACCGCCGGAAGUAGCAUGAGACGGCCUUCAAAACAAAAUCGCUGCCACGUUAAAUGGUACCAUGAACGCAGCUGUUUGACAAAUAAUCCAUGGCAUGGCCUGAACAUUUGUGAAAAGGACACAGCUCCGCAGACAACAACCACCACUGCUGCUAUUUGGACCCAUAUGCUGUAAUACUAUGUAAAAUAAAACCUGUCUGUAUUUUGGAA